rnacentral:rRNA from 1 species
GAGUUUGAUCUUGGCUCAGAGCGAACGCUGGCGGCAGGCCUAAAACAUGCAAGUCGAACGCACCUUCGGGUGAGUGGCGGACGGGUGAGUAACGCGUGGGAACGUGCCCUUUGGUUCGGAACAACUCAGGGAAACUUGAGCUAAUACCGGAUGUGCCCUUCGGGGAAAGAUUUAUCGCCAUUGGAGCGGCCCGCGUUGGAUUAGGUAGUUGGUGGGGUAAAGGCCCACCAAGCCUACGAUCCAUAGCUGGUCUGAGAGGAUGAUCAGCCACAUUGGGACUGAGACACGGCCCAAACUCCUACGGGAGGCAGCAGUUAGGAAUCUUGGGCAAUGGGCGAAAGCCUGACCCAGCCAUGCCGCGUGAAUGAUGAAGGUCCUAGGAUUGUAAAAUUCUUUCACCGGGGAAGAUAAUGACGGUACCCGGAGAAGAAGCUCCGGCUAACUUCGUGCCAGCCGCCGCCGUAAC